CAUCCCUUUGACCACCGUAGAGAUAUGGUUUUCCCUUCGGGGACAACGGUGCCAGGUGGUGCAUGGUUGUCUUCAGUUCGUGUCGUGAGAUGUUGGGUUAAGUCCCGCAACGAGCGCAACCCUUGUUUUUAGUUGCCAUCAUUUAGUUGGGCAUUUUAAGGUGACUGCCGGUGACAAACCGGAGGAAGGUGGGGAGGACGUCAAAUCAUCAUGCCCCUUAUGCCCUGGGUUACACACGUGUUCCAAUGGACGAUACAAACGGUUGCCAACUCGGGAGAGGGAGUUAAUCCGAUAAAGUCGUUUUCAGUUCGGAUUGUAGGUUGCAAUUCGCUUCCAGGAAGCCGGAAUCGUUAGUAAUCGGGGAUCACCAUGCCGCGGGGAAUACGUUCCCGGC
rnacentral:rRNA from 1 species